rnacentral:lncRNA from 1 species
CUGUUAUCAUUUCCGUUCUCUUCCAUUAUGAUAGAAACGGAAGGUGGCACAUGGAACCACGGCUGUGGUCUCCAAAGGAAAGAAGGCCCGCCUUGAGGCACUUCAAACUCCAGCAAGGAUUGCCAAACCUUCGAAGCUGGUACCUCCCCCUCGACCUGUGCCAGAAGCUGCUGUACCAGCUACUCUGGAGGGCGUACCUCCUCCUCGACCUGUUCCAGAAGCUGCUGUACCAGCUACUCUGGAGGGCGUACCUCCUCCUCGACCUGUUCCAGAUGCUGCUGUUCCAGCCACUCUGGAGGGCAGCGUCUUUGUGCAUUCGAGCAAGGUAAUUUGCAUACAACAUGUAAUGAUUAAACACAUUCAGUGAAUAGAGUGCGGUUCUCUAUUCUUUUGAUAUUUUCUCUAAGUUCCCUUUAAGAAAGUGUAAUUUUGGGUUUCCAUCUCUCAAUUGUAAUGUACAUAUAAUUCUUACUAUGUCUUUGCAGUUUGCUCAACCGGAGGGGGAUGACAAGACUCUGUGUGUUGAUGAGUGGCCGUUUCUUCAAACAGAGUUUUGUGAGAAGGUGAACCAGCCAACUGCUCGGGUUGUCUCUGGACAGAGAAAACAAGAGGAGCCAACACCUUGGGGGCCAAAAGUUGUGAUGGCCCAGGCUGAUAAACCAACAGCCAAUGAGACCAGCUUCUUGGGAUGUUCAACCAAGAUGACACACAUUGAGGACCAUGAGCCGUUUGAACCAGCACCUGAGGUCACUGCGAGCAGUCAGCAGGUAUGUAAUUACUAGUGGAAAAAUUGUAUACCAACGGGAAAAGCCACAGCUUAAGAGACCCAUUUUGUUUUGAUGUGUUUAUUCUUUUAAAACAUUGAUAUGGUGUAAGUGUGCAGUUCUGACUAAUUUGCCUCUACUAUGUACAUUUUCAAAUUACUUACUGGGAACCAACAUGCUUUUAAAAACACUGAAUUGUCAUUUCAGCAGAGCCCGCCUGAGGACAAUGGCCAGCUUGAAGAUCCUCAUGUAACACUGGGCAAUCAGAAGGUACUUAUUUUUAACAUGUUAUUCCCUGUUCCUUGUGAGUUUUCCUGCCAUUUAUUAGAUCUUGGAAAUUAGUUAAAGUAAUGUUAAUAUCAUGUACAAUUCCGUUUUCCCAUUAUACACAGCCAUGAACUACAGCUGAUUGAUUCCUAGCCUUUUUUAUGAAUUCCUUGUUAAUUUUGAUAUAAACUAUUGGUUACACUCCUUUUUGAUUGAACUACUGUUGUGUUUUUAGGCACCCUGUGAUUUUGCACCUGCCAGAGCUGCUACAUCAAGUCAUGUGACUUAUGACAACCCUGGGUGUCUUCAAGGAUCGUUUGACCAGAGCAGCCACAUAUUCGGGGAAAAUGCAGGUAAGCAGUGUGCUA